GAUGAACGCUGGCGGCGUGCCUAAUACAUGCAAGUCGAGCGAACGGACGAGAAGCUUGCUUCUCUGAUGUUAGCGGCGGACGGGUGAGUAACACGUGGAUAACCUACCUAUAAGACUGGGAUAACUUCGGGAAACCGGAGCUAAUACCGGAUAAUAUUUUGAACCGCAUGGUUCAAAAGCGAAAGACGGUCUUGCUGUCACUUAUAGAUGGAUCCGCGCUGCAUUAGCUAGUUGGUAAGGUAACGGCUUACCAAGGCAACGAUGUAUAGCCGACCUGAGAGGGUGAUCGGCCACACUGGAACUGAGACACGGUCCAGACUCCUACGGGAGGCAGCAGUAGGGAAUCUUCCGCAAUGGGCGAAAGCCUGACGGAGCAACGCCGCGUGAGUGAUGAAGGUCUUCGGAUCGUAAAACUCUGUUAUUAGGGAAGAACAUAUGUGUAAGUAACUGUGCACAUCUUGACGGUACCUAAUCAGAAAGCCACGGCUAACUACGUG
rnacentral:rRNA from 1 species